GUCUACAGUGUAUAAAAGAAAGCACUGGAGUUCUGGAGAGGUGAGGCAGAACACGAAGGUAAACAGGAAUCGUUAUUCCUUUUCUGAGAGGUAUGUAAUCUACAGGGGAAGCAGGCAGCACCUGAAAGGGGAGGAGAGGUUGGUGGGCCAUGCAGGGUUGAAGGAGGAGCAUAGGAAUAUGGGUCUGGGAAAGUUUGGCUAGCUUUAGAGUGCUCAAUUGAAAUACUAGUUUGGAAUAUUUUCUCAACACCAGGGUUCAAGUUUGUUAGUCCUACUGAGACAUCAGGUCAGAAGAAAAGAACAAAAGUGAGAAGGCAUUCAUGGCUUUGCAUUCUCAGAAAGACAUCCUGCUGGUUCAACUGUAGUUUUAACGUGAGCUCUCCUCGGGCCUGGGAGAAAUUCUGAGAAUGACCCCUGAGAAUGAGCUCAGUGGUGAGAAGUCCAAGGACAGGAUGAGGUCGACAUUGCAAGUGUUUUUGGAAUAAGAAUCAACACACUUAAAGACUGGGAUUUGGAAGUGAGAAGG